GACGAACGCUGGCGGCGUGCCUAAUACAUGCAAGUAGGACGCAGUUGCGAACGGUUGAGUAACGCGUAGGUGACUGCCUAUUAGAGGGGGAUAACUAUUGGAAACGAUAGCUAAUACCGCAUACUUGGAGAUGGACCUUCGUUGUGUUAGGCAGUAGGUAGGGUAAUGGCCUACCUAGGCGACGAUACAUAGCCGACCUUGGAAGGUGGACGGGCAAAAUGGGAAUGGGAAACGGGCCAGAACUCUAAGGGAGGCAGGAGUAGGGAAACUUUGGCAAAGGGGGGAACCCUGACCGAGCAACGCCGCGGGAGUGAAGAAGGGUUUCGGAUCUGAAAGCUCUGUUGAUAAGGAAGCGGUACUUAACCAGAAAGGGACGGCUAACUACGUGCCAGCAGCCGCGGUAAUAC
rnacentral:rRNA from 1 species